AUAGUCAUAUGUCUAUGAAUUUGCUCGAAGUGAGAGCUUUUAGAAUGUAGUUUUAUCACAUUCAAAAGAUUAGAGUGAGUAAAGGGCGGUCUACUCAGUAGAUACCCAUAAUUAGGAUAGGAAUAAUGUGUUAUGAUUAAUUUAAUUUCAAACUUAAAUGUGCACCAUGUGCAGAGUGCUUUUACCUAUAGAAUUAUGUGCACAGCAGCAAAGGCUCCUGUUUGUUUUCCAAGAUAUGCAUGCUUAUUUCUGUUAUGAUUUAAUAUAGGGUAAAUUGAAAAACUAGUGAAAAUAUUAGUAUGAAAGGGAUUAGAUAAAUUGAACUGACUAAAAAUAAGUUGGGGAAAACGGAUUUUAAGUCCACUGAAGUUAUCUUGACAGGAAAGGAAUGAAAUAGUAAUUGUCACAUAAAAUUUAGCACUAGUGAAGUAUCAGAUGCUUUUGUUUCUUUCGGAAAGUCGAGCAUGUGCUGUUUAAAAGGUGCCUGUUGUCACCAUCAAAUAAUCUCUGUACUAAACUUAACAGUUAACUAAAUCAGAAACAAUUAGAGAGCAUUAUUAUCCCCCAAAAAUAUUUGUUGUAUUACUUUUUGCAUAUUUUUAGCAAAUUGAUCCCAACAAAAAAUUUUAUUGAAUAGGAAUAUGUUAGCAAAAGGGCAACUAAUGGUGUUGAUUUUGCUGGAGAAAAUUUUGUAGAUGUCAUGUAAGAAGUUGAGCAACAAUUGCAUGUACCCAUAUAUCAAUUUACAUGGUUGUCCACUUGAUUUUUUUCUAUUCAUUUUGAUUUUCUACCAUCUCAAUUUUGUAGUCUAGAUUCGUCAUAUUAUUUUCCACUCCUAUCUUCCAAGUCAUUUUCGGUCUUACUCGCCCUCUUUUUAAAACUCCUGAGCUCAAACUUUUUAUCUUUCUUACUGAUUUGUUAAUACCUCAUUUUUGCACAUGCUCAAACCAUCUUAAACACCGGUCUUUCAUCUUUUUCUCGAUAUUUACAACUCCUAAAUCCAAUUUUAUCCUUUAAGGUAUGCCUAUUCAUCCAUCAAAACAUUCGCGUUUAUACUGCUCCCUUAUUCUAUUUCUACUAUCAUCCUUUAUAAAAAUCCAAUAUUAUAAUCCUUAUAGUAGCGAUGUCUAUUGGCCAUUCAAUUAAAUUGAGAAGUGAGUGCGACUGUGUAAAAAAAAACCGUUUAAUUUUACAUCAUAUUUUUGGUGGUUAUUUUUUUUACGAAUAAUAAAGUAUUAAAAGCGUGUAAGCGUUUUUUUUAAUAAAUAAUGAAAAUAUUAAAUGACGAAAAACCAACCAUGAGUUAUGUGAAUUAUGUGCAAAUAUAUACUCCUUUAAAUUUUUUUAAAGCUUAAGGUCGGCAGAUAUCACCUCCCUUUGGUAAAAAAAAAAAAAGAAAAACAGAACUGUGGUCUAUAAUUGAGUACUAAAUACUAAUGAAUUUCAUCAGUUGUUGUAAACAUCAACCCGCUGUACGUACAUGCUCAUUUCCCAAAUUUUGUCCGUGCUAUAAGAUAUUAGGCCCACAACCAUUGCCACAACAGAUUAUGGCUUAUGCUUCUGUUAGAAAAAUACAUGAAUGGUUUACAUUUUUAGUCAUUUAAUGCUGUCCUGCAUGGCUGCACCCUUUGUACAAUCUGCAUCUACUUAUUGGCCAUUAUAUUUAUUCAAAAAUAUCCCCUAAAUUUUCCUAUUGGUUUCCUUUAUUAUAUAUAAGUAUUUUUUCACCAUUUGUGUUAGGUUCUAUGACUUCCAUACAUACAUUCUUUUGCCAUUUGUUUUAAUUUCUGUCAACUGUUUUGGCACUUUUGUUUAGAUACCUUUAAAAUUUAACUAUCUCUUAAUAUAUCAUUUGUUUAUUUUUAAUAUUUCUUUUUAAUCAAAAAAAGUUUAAGCUUUUGACAUUAUUUUAGCUAAUGAAGCAAUCUCAAAGGAGCGGAGGAAAUAACUUUUUGGUGUUAUCUUUACUACUAGCUGUCUAGGUACAACAGUUAAUUUCAAAAGUAUGUUUCUCAAUUAUUUUCCAAGCUCUUUCAAAAAUAGUUAAAAUGUUUUGAAGACAAUUUUUUUUGCCUUUGUGAAGUAGUGAUCUGUUGUGCACAAAGAAAUUGAUAAUCCUAGCAAAAGUACACAUGCACCUCUACAUGCACGCCCGUAUGAUGCUAUGAUGCUAGGGCGCACAAUACUAACAUACUAAUGUAUAAUGGUUGCCCUACAUGCAUAGAAUAUGCAUCUCCGGAGAGAUGUAAAUGAGUUUCCCAUUUGAAUAUGUGAUAGAUUUGAAAUUUUGAAUGAUCAUGUACUGUACAAUUCAUUCAUUCCCUUUGAUGCCUAUUAUUACAUGCGCGAACAUGGUUUUUUUGGGGGGCAGUAAGUUAUGGACUUAAAUUCUUUGGCUUCUGGGUUAACCUUUUUAGGGUUUUGGGCAGGGUUUGCUUGCCAUUAAAAAAACCUUUUCUUUUCUUAGCUAUUUGUUUAUCAUUCAGGACACUUCUUUUCACACAAAGGAAGACCCACCUCACAUUCCCCACUACCUUGCAAAGAAAAUAUAAAAUGAAGGAAAAAUAAAAUAAAAUAAUAAAUAAAGAAUAUUGGCCCACCUCAGAGUAAAAGUUUGAUACAGUUAUAAAAGCAUGCCUGGCUGCCUACCCCCCUUAUAAUAAAGCUGGGCUUAUAAUUAAAGGAGUUUUAGAUUCUCCAUGGAAUUGAACCUAAUUUUAUAAUUAUAUCUGACGUAUUAGAAUUGAAAAUUCAAAUGCUGACUGUGUUCUUAAAGUCUGUGUAUAUCAGUUACAUAAGUAUAAUACUUGGAUAGGAUUAGAUUGACAUUAACUGGAAAAAUGUUUGGUUCAUUUAGAGUAUAAACUGUGUUAGUUGAACUUUUUAUCGUGAAUAUAUAUGUCGGAUUUUUAACAUUCUAAGGAGUGUGGAUAUUUGGGUUUUGAUAUCUUCAACUUGUUUUGAGUUCAUUUUAGUUCGGUCGUAUUCAAUUUAGGGAAUUCAUUGGACACUUUGUCUAUGUAAUGUAACAUAAGCUAUCAACCCUUAGUCUAGUUUAAAUAAGAAAAUUAUAGUUUUUUCUUUUAAUGUGACGGUGGAUGUGAGGGUUGCUAGAUGUCAAUUUUCGCAUUAAAUGUGUUACUGUGUUUAAGGGAGGUAAGAUAGUGAUGAGUUUACUAAUUGAAUCAAGCUGCUUUAGAAGAGGAAGAAAAGAGUGACAGAAAUGAUAUGAGUACAUUGGUGUCAAUUCUAAUCCAUACAUGAUUGCUUUUCAUAGAAGUCAAUGUCUUGAGGAAAGUAAAGCUUUGAAUAUGGCUUUUUCCCUUUUUUCUUUUUCCACUUGGAAUAUGCACUGUGCCAAUUCUAAUCUUAAUUUAAAGUGACGUCAAUAUGAAGCUAUGUAUAUGCUCUCUGAAAGAAUGAUGACACUCAUAACAAAGUAUGAGAGUCUCAUUGUUACAUGAUUCGUUAAUCUACACGCGAAUUGUGAAUCAAAAAAAGCAAAUUAUGGUCGGUUUUGGACUAUUCUUGGGCAAACUUGAGCAAAUCACGAAUUCAAAAGGCGAAUUAGCUAGUGAAUCUUGUUAGAAAUAUUGUUAGAAUUCAUAAUACUCCAUUCAUCCCAAUUAUAUGCCCUACCUUUUAUUCAUAUUAGUCUGUUAUUUUAAUCAAAUCUAAACAUAUCUUUAGGACAGAGGAUUUAAGUGUUAAAAAAUAUGAACCAUAACAUAGCUCAACAUGUAAGUAUACUCGACAUGUUAAUGACCCGAAUGUUUAAUUGUCGAAAUUGCUUGUGUUUACUUGUGUCUGGAUCACUGCCUAUUGUGCACAAUUUAGUUUUGGCAUCUUAGUUUUUGGUGAAUGAUUGUUGAUGUUUCCAUUUGUUAUCUAAAAAACCUGUAGCUUCCCUUCCCUCUAAUUUGGUGGAAUGUGGAUAACUGUUGAUGAUAUGAAAAUGAGUGAAGUUUGCGUACAUCCAAAACUGCACAGAAUUAUGUAUAGUACACUGGAGAAUUUGUCAAUACAGUUUACCUUUUAGUGGACUUAUUUUUUGACCAAGACUCGGUAAGUAGCUUUCAUGCCUCUGUUCAACCAAAUCGUUGUAGUAACAGAAAUAAGGAUGUUCAUAUUCAUAGUGAUUGUGAGGGUAAAUAUUGACAGCAAAAAAUAGAAAAGGUUAAUUAUUCGAAACAAUUAGCUUUUGUUCUUGUAGCCUUUUUAUUUUUGGAAUUAAGGCUUCGACAUUUUGUUGCGCAGUAAAUAGUGAUAGGUCCAUAGUACAAUACUGAUAAUAAUUGCACCAUAAGCCGUAAAAAGCAUCAUUUUAGGCCUAUUUAAGAGAUAUUUCAUGGGUUCAGCCGAUAAUUGGUGAUAUGACUUGCCACAUUAACAAUUGAAACGCAGUUUUGCACAAUACAAAAGUUAAGUUCACAUAUUAGGGUUACCUUUUUUGCGCAUCAUGCACUUGAUCAAUUAUAUAAACGUGAAUUGCUGGAGAGUCUAUAUCUCUAUGUAGAAGUAUUAUCUUUCUUCCUAAACCCACAUUCUCUGAUGGAUAAGAUGAGGCCAUGAGGCCAUGAGGGUGAAGGAGCCACCAUCCUAUAUAUUACUUGGCUAGGUAUAGAAUCAAGAAUCAAGCGCCAAAGCUUUUAAAAUCAUCUCCUUUUCUAUGUGGCUUAAUGCACAGCAUACGAUAAAAAUGUCCUCUUUUUCUUGCUUUAGAUUAAUUUAAGACCGAAGCGAUAAUGCAAAAACAAGGCCAUCAAAAUAUAGGCAGAGACAACUGCCGAAUCAUUCACGACUUAAAACCUUUUUCACAAACUGUUACAGCGAUUAUCACCGAAAUCAUAUUUUUGCACUAUGAACUUAACACCUCCAAAUCAUGGAUGCAUCACAGUUGCAUUGUAUUCCACUAUGGAUUUUGUAACUGUACAGUUCAUCAAAGCAUUUAAUCUAUGCCAAUAAUUGAAUUAUAUAAGAGCUUAUUUCUGUAACAUAAAGUAUUAAUUCAUAUUAUUGCUAAAGUAUAGAUCAUUCAAAAGUUAAAAUAUAGUAUUAAAUGAUAAAUAGCACUGUCAAUUUUUAUAUUUGUUUUUUUGAUAUAUGGUCUCGUUUAUUUAUAUUGAUAUGAUAUGAAUACUUGCUAAGUACGUCGAAAGAUAAGAUUACUGUUUACUUAGUAUAAUAAUUGUGUGAUUACUUUAUUUAUAUUGUCCUAUUCUGAUAAAGAUUGAGAUAGCUCAUUGGAUUUUGGAUGUGAAGCCAUGUGAUAUUAUCAAUAAUGGGUUUUUUACAUUUUUUUUAAUUUUGUACCUUCUUUUAAAAGAAAAGCUGAUGUUAGCUGCCAUAACUUUACAAAAAGUUCCACUUGAAGAAAAGCAAGCCUUCAACUAAGUAUGAACUAGCUGCUCAGCUCGGGAAUGCUACUAAAGAGGACAAAACUAGACAAUUGAUAAUUUUUAUCUUAACAUACUAAAACCUUUUCCCCUUUCUUUUUUGCUGGUAAUUAGAGAAGAUUCUCUUGGUUGUGAAGGUCAAAAGUUUUUGCAAAGUAGCACUUCUUUUAGAUUAUAGUUUGUUUCAAAUCAUCCAUCCUAUAUGUUAGGUGUAUUUUUUAUUUCAAAGUAAUUAUUCUACAACAUUAAGUGCCUCCCACCGGACGGUGUCUGAAGGUUAGAUGUGCGCAACCUUUCUCUUGUUAGAGCUUACAAAAAGGCUGUUUCCAAGACCCGUGGUAGCAAACGUCAUCUUUAACUUCACAUAAUAAGGCAUGCACUUGAUUUGAUAGUGAUUUAAUGUAAUCCAUUAUAAUCCGAAACUAAAGAACUAUAAAUAUUUUUCCCGGACAAAAUAAGGGACUGAAUUUCAAAGUAAACCUAAGAAAUUUUAUGAUGAGAAAGUUUUUACACCCAAGUAAGCUGGUUUAGCCUCAAGAAAUUGUAUACUUAUGCUUUAGUUAAUUUGGUUCUUUAUUUUAUUUAUGACUGCUGUUCUAAACAAGAGACUAGAAAGUAGAAGUAUAUGCUAAUCUUGGGUUUCUUUCUUUUGCUAGAAAAUCUUAUUCUCAUUUUAAUUAGGAAGUUAUGUUUUGGGACUAUCUAAUUGAAGUACUUCUAAAUCAUACUUGGGAAUGACAAAGAAAAGGACUGACAAAGGCAAAAAAUACAGUGAACUUUGUGCAAUAUUGUCUUCAAUCUUGUCCAAUGAACUCUUUCUGAAAGUUGACAACAAGUCUUAUUGUGAAUGUAAAAUCUUCUAAUGAAAAAGUUCUUGCUUGGAGGGUAAAAUUUGUUAUCUUAAUUUUGCAAUAAGUUUCUAUCAGCUGGAAGCAAUCUUGAGAAGGAAUCUAAAGUUAUUUUGACUUAAAACGUUGAAAGAACAAACUGUUCGUCUCUUCUGUUUUAUUUAUCCUUUUUAAUUAUCUCCUUUUGACUUCGACAUACAUAAUUUUAGUCCUGAUGAACAAAACUUACUUCCCCACAAUAUCAGGACUAAGAUCUUUUCCUCCUUCGCGACCAACAGAAAGGAGAAUGUCAUCCUCAAAUGUGGGGGGAAAACUCAAGAACUAGAGCAGGCCUUAAAGAUUGCCCAAGAUGAGAAAAAAUUGUUUUGUAUUUACAUAGUUACUAGAAAUAUUAGAGAGGACAUUAGAAGAACAAGGGGUUGCCUUUUGUAGUUCAAGAGCUAAAGAGGAAGAUGAAAGGCGGAUCAUCGCUUGAGAGAAGAGCAAAAUGCUGCAUAUCUUGCAGCCCUCAAAUUAGACCAGGAAAGGAAAAGACUAGGGAAAAUGCCUUCACAACAAAUAGAUGAGAAAUCAGAAGCACUGAAACAAGCAACAAAUAGAAGAUUUAUUCAGUGGCCAAGGCAAAAUCCUACACUGAACAAAGCUAGUCAAGAAAUCAGCUGUAACAAAUAGAGAAAACAUGCACAAAGAUAGGGUCAAUAAGGCCAAUAUUAAUGCAGUCACUCAGGUUUUCGAAUGGCUGAGCGAAAGAAGCACAGUUUCUCAGCAACAGACAAGGUGCAGGCAAUAUGCUAAUUCUACUACAUAGAUUUGGAAUUUAGAAUUACAGAUUAAUAUCAAGCUUCUCAAGAAAACUUCUUGGUGUUGAUCAAAUGGUAAUGACUUUAGAAGAUGCUGGCCUUCAUCCUAGAAUUAGUUUGUAUUUAGACCUCUAAAUACAUAGUUUUAUGACAAGUGCUGAUCAGCUUUAUAUAAUAUCUGAUUAUAGGAAGCACUUCAUAGAAACAUAAAUUUGAUACACCGUUCCAUUAUUCCAAUGUCAUUAAGUGGCUCCCAUCUAGGCGAGAUUGAUGAGUCGAAUAUGUAUGCAGUCUUACCCUUGUUAGUAAUUACAAAGAGGUUGUUUCCGUUAAUAAUUGAUGUCAACCAUCAUUUCAACCUCACAUAAGGAAACAACGAUUUAAUGUAGCUAGUAAGAAAAAUUGAGAAUGUAAUUUAGAUAUUUAUUUGAAGAUUUAUGUUUUCUUGCACAUAUAUGUAUUAUGUUAAAUUUGUUAUCAUUAAAUUCAGUGUAUAUUAUUAUAUUCAUUCUAUAAUCUAGUUCUUGAUAAAGCUUACAAUGAAGUUUAUAGCUAGUGGCUAUCAGUUAUUUGUGGUUGAAAUUCUACUAAAAUUUAAUCGUACCAACCUUGUAUUUCUAUUGAAUAAAAAACGACUAAUCAUUAUUGAUUAGAUGGUUACUUCCUUUAAAAUUAAAAUUUUCAAAGAAAAUGAUUUGAUAUGUUUUAGAUAAUUUGUUUUAUUCAAAUAAGUCAAGAUUUACAUGAGUGUUUGAAAUUCUAAAGGUGAUGAUUAUAUCAUUAAGUGGCAAGUUACUAUGCAAAUUAUUCUUCUUAAUACCAAACCAACAACCACUUAAAAAUUACCAGUCCUUUGUGAUAAUGUCUCAACUCUUACAAACAUUGAACAGUUUGGGGCAAUUUGGAUCUUAAUUCUGUAAGCAUUUUAAUUUUUAUUACCUUAAAUGUUUUUGAGUAUUUGGCAUUUAAUUAUAAAUUAGAAACACAUUUUACAUGAAAUGUUUAAGUUUAUAGGAUUUUAA